rnacentral:rRNA from 1 species
AUUUUAUUUAAUUGGGGUGAUUAAAAAAUUAAAAAAACUUUUUUUAAAAUUUAACAUUAAUUUAUGAUUAUAUGAUCCAAUAUUUUUGAUUAUAAGAUUAAAUUACCUAAGGGAUAACAGCGUUAUUUUUUUUGAGAGUUCAAAUCGAAAAAAAAGAUCCUGUUUAUUAAAAACAUGUCUUUUUGAAUUUAAUUUAAAGUCUGGCCUGCCCAAUGAAUUUUUGAAUGGCCGCGGUAUUUUGACCGUGCUAAGGUAGCAUAAUCAUUAGUUUUUUAAUUAAAAGCUGGUAUGAAAGGUUUAAUGAGAAAAAAUCUGUCUCUUAUAAAUUUAAUUAGAAUUUUAUUUUUAAGUUAAAAAGCUUAGAUAGUAUUUAAAGACGAGAAGACCCUUUAGAGUUUGAUAUUUUAACGAAUUUGAAAUUUUUAGAAUUUAAUUUUUUAAAUUUUUUAUUUUAUUUAAUUGGGGUGAUUAAAAAAUUAAAAAAACUUUUUUUAAAAUUUAACAUUAAUUUAUGAUUAUAUGAUCCAAUAUUUUUGAUUAUAAGAUUAAAUUACCUAAGGGAUAACAGCGUUAUUUUUUUUGAGAGUUCAAAUCGAAAAAAAAGAUUGCGACCUCGAUGUUGGAUUAAAAUUAAAUUGUGGUGCAGGAGUUACAAUUUUAGGUCUGUUCGACCUUUGAAAUUUUACAUGAUCUGAGUUUAGACCGGCGUGAGCCAGGUUGGUUUCUAUCUUAAAUAAAUAAAAAAUUUUUUAGUACGAAAGGAUUAAAAAUUUAAAUUAUAUUUUAAAUUGGAAUAAAAUU